ensembl:lncRNA
AGCAACUACGUAGCAACCAUGUUCUAAAAACUCUUCACAUUUCAAAACCCAUGUUUUUGCUACAUGUGUUUUGAAUAAGCAAGCAUUAUGUAUUUUUUUAAAUAUUGUGUGUUUUAUUUUGUAAAUUUCCAUUGUCUUUAAAACAUGAAUAUCGCUUUAAAUGUUUUCUUUGAAGAAUUAUGACGUUCUUGCUAUCAAGGGCUUAUGCAAUCAGCAUAAACCAAAACCUAAUGCUGGUUCACUGGCUAGUUUGUUUUUUAUUUAUUUAUUAAUUUAUUUUUUCAGCAGGAAUGGUUCAGGCGGGGUAAAAUACUCUGAACAACACAACCACAGCCAUUUACUCACUAGGUGUCCACUUAUUCAUUUUCAGGAAAUUUAGCUGAAGUGGCCUCUUAUUAUCUGAAGUACUAAUUGAACCUAUUUUCCUUUUCGAAGCCUGUCUACCUGCAUUCAUUUUAAAGCAAUAACUCAUGGAUGAGCAACACCACUCAUUGGCAACCACUCACACUGAUGGCUCCACUUAUGUGGUGACCAAAACAGCAGCACCUCCCCACAGUCAGAUCACGAAUCGCAGUGACUUCAUCUCCACGUUAUGCAAUUAAAUCACGUCCCAAAACACUCCAUUUAUUUUGGAUUGUCUUCAGGCGUUGUGUUGAAUAUCAGGAGCGAGAUAACAACAGCGAUGGUAACCGGGUCAGUGAAGUCGAACACACAGGCCGAAACAAGACCAAAGGGACCGUCGGUCAGAACAUCUCCGCCAACUGGCUACCUACACGGACUCUUUGAGGCUUGCAGGAACACGGAUCUGCAGCGAUCGUUAGAGCAGCAAACUGUUUCCUGCGCCGGGAAAAAAAUAAAUAUUUGAAUAUUCUCAGGCGCUCCUAAACCAGCUUAAAUUGGAUCAUUUUAUUGUGCCGCUCCACCCUGCCAAAAUGCCAAGAGAGUGUGGGUUUUGGCGAAGGCCGGCACUCCUGAAUCUCCCCCCCACCCCUCUGCACUAUCUGCUGACACAGAGUCUUGCCCCAGGCCGAAGCUCUCCGCAUGGCCAGCCCCCUGCUGGGAAAAGAUGCACUGAGCUGGAGGCGCCCCAGCACACAACUGGCCAGCAGGCCACUCAAUGCGUGACACCUCACAUAUGUGUGCGCCGCCCUUUUAUACAGAAUGUACAGCACUUCGAGUGUUGCUCCCAGUAAUUAAAAGUAGUUUUGCUUUGCACUGAGUAUACUUCAUAUUUACUG